UGGCUCAGGAUGAAUGCUGGCGGCGUGCCUAAUACAUGCAAGUCGAGCGGCAGCGAGGGUUUCAUCCUACUCUGGAAUACUUCGAGGGUAGAAUGAAACCUGUCGGCGAGCGGCGGACGGCUGAGUAACGCAUGGGAACGCACCCCAAACUGAGGGAUAACUAGUCGAAAGAUUAGCUAAUACCGCAUGUGAUCUUCGGAUUAAAGCUUUCGGGCGGUUUGGGAGCGGCCUGUGUACGAUUAGAUAGUUGGUGAGGUAAUGGCUCACCAAGUCGACGAUCGUUAGAUGGUUUGAGAGGAUGAUCAUCCAGACUGGGACUGAGACACGGCCCAGACUCCUACGGGAGGCAGCAGUAGGGAAUCUUUCACAAUGGGCGAAAGCCUGAUGGAGCAACGCCGCGUGCAGGAUGAAGGCCUUCGGGUUGUAAACUGCUUUUAUAAGCGAGGAAUAUGACGGUAACUUAUGAAUAAGGAUCGGCUAACUACGUGCC
rnacentral:rRNA from 1 species